rnacentral:rRNA from 1 species
GAUGAACGCUGGCGGCGUGCCUAAUACAUGCAAGUCGAGCGAACAGACGAUGCGCUUGCUCCCCUGACGUUAGCGGCGGACUUGUGAGUAACAGAUGGAUAACCUAGUUAUAAGACUGGGAGAACUUCGGGAAACUGGAGCUAAUACCGUAUAAUAUCUUAAACCUCAUGGUUCAAUAGUGAAUAACGGUUUUGCUGUCUCUUAUCGAUGGAUCCUCGCCCCAUUUGGUAGUUGGUAAGGUAACGGCUUACCAAGGCAACGUUGCGUAGCAAACCUGAGAGGGGAAUCGGCCACACUGGAACUGAGACACGGUCCAGCCUCCUACGGGAGGAAGCAGAAGGGAAUCUUCCGAAAUGGGCGAAGGCCUGACGGAGCAACGCCGCGUGGGUGAUGAAGGUCUUCGGAUCGUAAAACUCUGUUAUAAGGGAAAAAGAAAUGUGUAAGUAAAUAUGCACGUCUUGACGGUACCUAAUCAGAAAGCCACGGCUAACUACGUG